UUCCUCCUAGUUAAGGAGGUAAGGCCUGCUCACUGAUCAUUUUUGAAGAGCCGCAGUAUCCUAACUGUGCUAAGGUAGCAUAAUCAUUAGUCUUUUAAUUGGGGACUGGAAUGAAUGGCUAAACGAGAAAUCGGCUUUUUUUAUUAUAAAAAUUUAACUUGUUUUUUUAGUGAAAAAACUAGAAUUAACUAAUAAGACGAGAAGACCCUAUAGAGUUUUAUGAAGUAAAAAAUUUCAAUUUAUUAGAUCUUUAUGAAUGAAAUUUGGUUCUUCAUUUUGUUGGGGCGACAUUAAGAUAAAAAAAACUCUUUUUUCUAUAAACUUCUAUAGUAGGUUAGUUUGAUCCUCUAAAAGAGAUCAAAAGAAAAAAUUACCUUAGGGAUAACAGCGUAAUCUUUUUCGAGAGUUCCAAUCGACAAAAAGGUUUGCGACCUCGAUGUUGGACUAAAAUUUAGGCAUGGUGCAGCCGCUAUGUCUUAGGGUCUGUUCGACCCAUAAUAUUUUACAUGAUUUGAGUUCAGACCG
rnacentral:rRNA from 1 species